rnacentral:rRNA from 1 species
UACGUAGGGUGCGGGCGUUAAUCGGAAUUACUGGGCGUAAAGCGUGCGCAGGCGGCUCCUUAAGUCAGAUGUGAAAUCCCCGGGCUUAACCUGGGAACUGCGUUUGAAACUGGGGAGCUGGAGUGUGGAAGAGGGGGGUGGAAUUCCAGGUGUAGCAGUGAAAUGCGUAGAGAUCUGGAGGAACACCGAUGGCGAAGGCAGCCCCCUGGGCUAACACUGACGCUCAUGCACGAAAGCGUGGGGAGCAAAC